CCGGGGCCGGGGCGGAUGAAUGGGACUGGGCCGGGUCUGGGGCCGGGCCGAGGCACUACGAGCAGGGCUUCGAGGGGUGUUGCUGACUGGUGGGACAGACCAGCCUUCUGCCACCUGCUGCUGGCGUGGGCGAGAACGCGACCCCCUAAAACGUGUCCCUGAACCCAGCGAGGCUGCCGGGAAUUGCAGGGAAGCGUCUUCCAUGGGGUUGGUCGACCUUUCCCAAGCAAACCCUGCACAAGUGAUUCAAAUCAGAGCAAAAUACAGCUGGAUGUGGCAUCCCGGUGCCGGGAGAGGGGGUCGCGGGAGAAACGUUACCCAGCCAUGGGGUUUCAUGGGACAGAGCAGCUUUCAUAGUCCUGGUUGUUGAAGAAAACCCCAAGAAAUAAAAUAUGAACAUCAGAAGCACUUGAGCCAACCCAUGAACAAAUAAUUUUAAUAUUUAUUUAGCAGACUGUAGUUUUUUCGGAGCUCUACAGUCUCCUCUCUUUGAAGUUGGACAGAUACAGUAAACACAACAAAUAUAUGAUACAACCCAUCACAGCUGGAUUAAAAAAAAUACACAAAAAAUAUAAUACAUAAAAAAUUGGAUUUUUAACAUUGUGGACUGACACAGCUCUAAAAAUGGUGAUUGUAACCCUGGUAAGCUUUACAAAGUCUUUAAAAAAAUAAAACAGUACUUCAUGUGAAA